rnacentral:rRNA from 1 species
UACGGGGGGGGCAAGCGUUGUUCGGAAUUACUGGGCGUAAAGGGCUCGUAGGCGGCCAACUAAGUCAGACGUGAAAUCCCUCGGCUUAACCGGGGAACUGCAUCUGAUACUGGAUGGCUCGAGUUUGGGAGAGGGAUGCGGAAUUCCAGGUGUAGCGGUGAAAUGCGUAGAUAUCUGGAGGAACACCGGUGGCGAAGGCGGCAUCCUGGACCAACACUGACGCUGAUGAGGGAAAGCCAGGGGAGCAAACGGG